GACGAACGCUGGCGGCGUGCCUAAUACAUGCAAGUAGAACGCUGAAGGAGGAGCUUGCUUCUCUGGAUGAGUUGCGAACGGGUGAGUAACGCGUAGGUAACCUGCCUGGUAGCGGGGGAUAACUAUUGGAAACGAUAGCUAAUACCGCAUAAGAGUAGAUGUUGCAUGACAUUUACUUAAAAGGUGCAAUUGCAUCACUACCAGAUGGACCUGCGUUGUAUUAGCUAGUUGGUGAGGUAACGGCUCACCAAGGCAACGAUACAUAGCCGACCUGAGAGGGUGAUCGGCCACACUGGGACUGAGACACGGCCCAGACUCCUACGGGAGGCAGCAGUAGGGAAUCUUCGGCAAUGGACGGAAGUCUGACCGAGCAACGCCGCGUGAGUGAAGAAGGUUUUCGGAUCGUAAAGCUCUGUUGUAAGAGAAGAACGAGUGUGAGAGUGGAAAGUUCACACUGUGACGGUAUCUGACCAGAAAGGGACGGCUAACUACGUG
rnacentral:rRNA from 1 species